rnacentral:rRNA from 1 species
ACCAGGUCCAGACAGAGGAAGGAUUGACAGAUUGAUUGCUCUUUCUUGAUUCUUUGGGUAGUGGUGCAUGGCCGUUCUUAGUUGGUGGAGUGAUUUGUCUGGUUAAUUCCGUUAACGAACGAGACCUUAACCUGCUAUUUAGCCGGCGCUACGCGGUUCCGCCGCGCUUCUUAGAGGGACUCCGCGGCUUCAAGUCGCGGGGAGGUUUAAGGCAAUAACAGGUCUGUGAUGCCCUUAGAUGUCCUGGGCUGCACGCGCGCUACACUGAUGCAUGCAUCGAGUUGACCCCGCUCCGAAAGGCGCGGGUAACCAGCAGUCUGCAUCGUGUCGGGGAUUGAUUUUUGCAAUUCUGAAUCAUGAACGAGGAAUGCCUAGUAUGCGCAAGUCAUCAGCUUG